AAAUGCUGCUGCCAACACCCCGGAAUUAGACUAUUGAACACAAAAAAUAUCUUAAAAUGAUAUCCAACAACUUACUGAAUUUGCACAAGUGCUGCUUAACGCUACGAAAUCAAGAGGAAAGAAUGGUUUAGGGGAAACAAGGGAAUUUCUACAAUAGUAGAGGAAAGAAAAGAAAAGAUAAUCGAGUAAGAAACAAAGAAGAAGAAAAAAUUGACAGAGAUGGGGGAGAGCAAACGUCAGAAAGAUGGAGAGAAAAACGACUCUUUUUUUUCGAAAAAGGAAAAAGUGAUCAGAUUUUGGAUAUUCUCCCCCAUAAUCCCUUAAUUCACACCUAAAAUCGCUCCCUC
rnacentral:lncRNA from 1 species